UACGGGGGGAGCAAGCGUUGUUCGGAUUUACUGGGCGUAAAGGGCGCGUAGGCGGUCAGCACAAGUCGGUUGUGAAAUCUCCGAGCUUAACUCGGAAAGGUCAACCGAAACUGUGCGACUAGAGUGCAGAAGGGGCAACUGGAAUUCUCGGUGUAGCGGUGAAAUGCGUAGAUAUCGAGAGGAACACCUGCGGCGAAGGCGGGUUGCUGGGCUGACACUGACGCUGAAGCGCGAAAGCUAGGGGAGCGAACGGG
rnacentral:rRNA from 1 species